ensembl:lncRNA
UGGAUUCAGGUCAUUGCUCCCUGUCCUCUCUCCGAGGCGCCGCGGAAUGUGACUAAUUCCCUCCCUUCAUUUACGGGUCCUGUUACCUGGGAGGUAUUUAUAGUGUGACAGCCUCCCUCCCUCCCCAGCGACUCAGCUGCUCUCCCUCCAGGCCAUCUCUCCCCCACUCAGCCAACCUUUGCCUCCCCUCUCCUGCCACAGCUCCACCACCUCCCCACGAGCCCUCCCCGCACCUGCCAUUCCCCUGGCAGGAGGAGAGGCAGGCUCAGGUGGGAGGGGCCUGAUCCAGUGGAGUGGAGUGCUAUCUGCAAGGGGGAUGCCCCUCCCCUCUUGAAUACCCCAAAAAGGCAGCUUAGGGGCCAGGCUGGGGGACGGCGACAAUUGGCUGACCCCUCUGUGACCUCACCAUGCAGUCUGAUAUCAACAAGAGGCAACAAUUAUUGAGUGCAUACUGUGUGCCAGGUAACACUGUUAACUUUCGUUUGCAGAUAAGGAAACUGAGGCUCAGAAAGGCCAAAUGACCGCCCUCAGGUCUUUAUAGCUGGGGUGGGGUGUUCCUGCACAGCCACCCUCCAGAGCCCAGCAUGGUGUGUGGGAAUACUGGCCCCAAAAGGCAGGUUGGGUCGGGUAAGGACUGCAGGAUCCUUAGGGGGUACCUGAUCAAAACCCAUCUCACAGACCCAGUAGUGUCCCUACUGGUCCCAAGCCAUGGCUGGUCUGCCCAGGGGUUGUCAGGGAAUGGCAUCAGAUGGAGUCCACUGCCUGCCCCACACAUAUCCCCUCCUCCAAGCAGGGAUCACUAAGGAGGUGGAGUGGGAGGGCACAGAUCUAGCCAAAGACAGAGAACAGGGGAGCCCUGUGUCCAAAGAGGAUGAAUGAAGGGAAACUACAGCAGAAGGGAAGGAAGUCAGACCCCAUGCGGAACUUACAGGUAUGGAAGGCCAAGGCGGGGACCAGCUGCCCUUUCACAUCUCCAGUCUCACAACUGCCCUACGCUCCUUUUCACAGCUGGGAUGACUGAGACCCUGAGAGGCAAAGAGACCAGCUCAGGUUUUCCCAAAUUCUCUAACCAGAAAUCCACAAUACUCAUAAAGUGGCUUUGUCAAGAUUUCUAGGAGACUGGAGGGAAUGGAGGAGGAGGCUGAGUUCAAAUCCAGCCUUGUACUCACAAGUUUGGUGACAUAAAGCAAGUAACUUUGCCUCUCUGUGACUUGAUUCCCAUUUGUAAAACGGGCUGACAUCACACCUCACUCAUACGUGGCCAUAGGACUCAGGGACCUGAAACAGGCAGAGUCCUGAGCGCGAGGCCAGGCAUAUGGCGGCAACUCCACGAAUGUCGGCAGGUAAUACUGUGGUUUGUAUUUUUCCCCGCUUCUUUCUUCUCUCUCAGAUCUGAGCAAAGGGGCCAUAUCUCUUCCCUGAGACUGAGGCAUCCUGAGGACAAGAGCUGUGUUUCUACCAUCAGCCUGCCAUCAACUGUCCUUGGGACCAGGAAGUCCCGGGCAGGCUGCUGUCGGGAACUAACCUUCACUACUGUUAUCAUUAUUUUCAUUAUCAACAGUCUAUCAUUCUCUAUGGCUGUAGCCCCACCAGCACACACCCAGCUAGGCUUUUGGCUCUUGUCUGGAAAACACUGCCACAAAUAUGCACCACAGUUCCCACGUGAGCCCCAACUAGGGUGUCACACUGGGUCCAACAGCCCCCACUGUACCGCCAUCCUCCAUCACCACUAACCCCCACCAUGGGGUGCCAGGAGCUGGCCUGGAAGAAGAAAGACACUGAGUCAUUCUGAUUCCUGCUUCAGGGAGCCAGAGCCAGGCAGCCCAGGCAGCCCCUCCAAGGGGGACAUCAGGGGCAGGGUUAGGUCCCUGGAACACUCCUGGCAGCCGAGGGGCUGAGCAUGGCGUCCCCAGCAGCCAGAUUUGGGAGGGGGUAGAGGUAAGAAAUGGCAGGGCUUUAGUGACUGGGCCCUGACAGAACAGGAAGGGACAGCAGCAGGCAUCUGUGAGCACCCCUAUCCAUCUGGCACCUGGCCAGGUCUCCAUCACACUGGGAACAAGGGAGCCCCACUCAAUUUACAGGUAAAGGCUACAGACUCAGGGAGGUCCUGUCAACUGCCAGCGAUCACACAGCACCUAGUAGGUGGGGGCAGGUAAUACCUGCUCAGAUGCCCACAACCUUUGAUCCUCAUGUCCUGAGUGGACAGCCAGACCCAAGGUUUGGGUGGGGUGGGUGGAAGCAGCCAGCAACGCUGUCCAUGCUGGCAGAUGGAGGGUGGGAGCGAGCAUCACAGGAGAGUGGGAACAGAUGCCAGGGAGCAGGACAGUGGAAGUGAGGCGCUCUGGGCCAACUCUUCAGCAGGGCAGUGCAAUGGGGUGCAGCCUAGGACUGGACAUCAGAGGCCUUAGUCUUCAGCCUGGCUCAUUCCAAGCCUAUUGUGGACCUCAGGCAAGGCCUGGCCUCUCUCUGAGUCUCAGUUUUCCCCAGUGAUGCUAUGGCACUCUGAGAUCCAAUAUUCUCCCUAGCAGUUCUGAGUCAGGCCUCCCCAGGCGUAUCAACGGGGCCCUGAGGCUGAGGGCCAAAGAGGGGUCUGUGCCUAGGUGGCCCUCCCCUCCCCACCCAUGGGCACACAGGGUCCUCGUUGAAGAAAUACAGUGUAUACAAAUAAUUAAACGGAAGAAUUGGAGUGAUUAGGGCAGAUGAUUAUUGUCAAAUUAUGAUUUAUCUUGUAGUGGAAUUAGUAUUCCCCCAAAGGGCCCGGCGUGGCGCGGCGCCCGCCACGGCCCGUGAUUAAUCGCCGUCUCCAGAAGGUCACCUCCAGCCACUGCAGAUUAACUCAGUGGGGAAACUUCUUUCCGUAAUUCAAGCUGUUGUUCCCACAACCUGUCAUCCGCCUCGAAAAAGGACGAUUUCGUCAGGGAGCCCAAGGUGGGGGCUGUCCGCUCUCCCAGCCCCUCCCUGCUGCAGACAUGAUAUAUGCGUCCAGAGGCAGCCAGGAUCUGCGGUGUACGGCGCAGCCACCACCCCCUUCCCCAACACACACAGGCACCCAGCUCCAGCCAGGUAGGGACUCCCCAGGAGGAAUGGAGGAUGGGGGGCAAUGGACCUCCUUCGGGAAGGUAGGAGAUGUAGAACCAACAGACGACAAAACGAUCCUGCUCAGGCCUAAAGCCGGGCCCUGCAGAGACCCCCAGCAGAGAGCAGCUUUCCUGACCUGAGAGCUGGAACCAAGAUCCCAUUUCCCCAGCAGUAGACACUGCCAAAGCCACCUGACAACGUCACCUGGGGCUGCUAGUCAUGGCCACCUCCAGGUCUGGGAGGGGGCUCAGGAUCCCUGAUCUGUCUGCCUGUGCAUGGAGAACAGUGGGGACAGAGCCCCCCAUCCCUGCCUUCUCACUUCAGCCUCUGUCCAUCCCUUAGUUCCCUGAGCAGGAGGGGGUAAAAAGGCCCAAGUGUCUGUCCUUCCUCUGUCUCAUUUACCUGCUAUCCAGCCCUGCCGGGGGUAGGGAGAUGUCUUGUGCCCAUGGUACAGAUGAGGAAGCUGAGGAAGGGUGAUCUUCUGCUCUGAAGCUGCUCUGGGUCCCCAGCACCCUCAGGAUUACCUCCAAGCUCCUUCAGGUUCUGCCUUUUGGGGGUCCAGCAGCCCUCCCAGGCCCGCCCCCCUGCUCAUCCUCCCCAACUCCAGAAACCCUCACUGUGCAAUAUUCUUUCAGGGCUCUCAGCUUUGCGUUCCUGAAAUGUGCUUCCUGUCCCCAGCCCUCAUCUGGAAUGAGGGUAGGGGAACAACUCUCUCCAAAAUCAUGGGGACUGAAGACUGGCAUUUUCUUUGGGGGAGAAGGGGGCUUUCCAUCCUCUGCUGCCGGGACUAUCUAACAGACAUCAUCCUCCCCUCAAGCUUUUGGCUGAUGGUGAUAAUAAAAACUCCCAUUUAUACUGCAUCUUACUUUCAAAAUUCCCUUUGCAACAUUCACUCAUUGACUCUUCAGGGACAAGCCCAAGAAACUUGUUAACCCCAUUUUACAGACAAAGAAGCAGACUGGAAGGAGGUGGCAGGUGUCUUACAGACCAAGACAGAGGGCUGUAAGCAAUGGCUGUGAGUCUGAGGGGGGUGAUUCUGGUCCCACCCCCACCCAGCCCACUCUGUGGAACCACUACCUCCCCACAGGGGCGGCUCCAAAACCUUUACCCCCAUCCUCCCCCAAGGCCCAGGUGCGGUGGGAGUAGAGCAGAUAGCCGGGGCAGGGACCCUUCCAGCUGAGAACCCUCUUCCUGUGAGCUCUGGGUGUAUGAUGCCGGUUCAUAACCCAACCACGCCCCUUACCAGCUGUGGAACCUUGAGCCAGUCACUUUACCUCUCUGUGCCUCUGUUUGCUCACCUGUAAAAUGGGUUCCAACCUUGCAGGGCUGUUGUGAGAAUGAAACAAGACUG